UACGUAGGGUGCGAGCGUUAAUCGGAAUUACUGGGCGUAAAGCGUGCGCAGGCGGUUUUGUAUGUCCGAUGUGAAAGCCCCGGGCUUAACCUGGGAAUGGCAUUGGAAACUGGCGGGCUGGAGUGCGGCAGAGGGGGGUGGAAUUCCACGUGUAGCAGUGAAAUGCGUAGAGAUGUGGAGGAACACCGAUGGCGAAGGCAGCCCCCUGGGCCGACACUGACGCUCAGGCACGAAAGCGUGGGGAGCAAACAGG
rnacentral:rRNA from 1 species